rnacentral:rRNA from 1 species
UACAGAGGGUGCGAGCGUUGUUCGGAAUUACUGGGCGUAAAGCGCGCGCAGGCGGCUUCUUAAGUCUGACGGUGAAAUGCCGGGGCUCAACCCCGAGCGUGCCGGAGAUACUGGGGAGCUGGAGACGAGUAGAGGCAAGCGGAAUUCCGGGUGUAGCGGUGGAAUGCGUAGAGAUCCGGAAGAACACCGGAGGCGAAGGCGGCUUGCUGGGCUCGGUCUGACGCUGAGGCGCGAAAGCGUGGGGAGCGAACAGG